rnacentral:rRNA from 1 species
CUCAGAUUGAACGCUGGCGGCAGGCUUAACACAUGCAAGUCGAGCGGUAACAGGAAUUAGCUUGCUAAUUUGCUGACGAGCGGCGGACGGGUGAGUAACGCGUAGGAAUCUGCCUAGUAGUGGGGGACAACAUGUGGAAACGCAUGCUAAUACCGCAUACGCCCUACGGGGGAAAGGAGGGGAUCUUCGGACCUUUCGCUAUUAGAUGAGCCUGCGUAAGAUUAGCUAGUUGGUGGGGUAAAGGCUCACCAAGGCGACGAUCUUUAGCUGGUCUGAGAGGAUGAUCAGCCACACUGGGACUGAGACACGGCCCAGACUCCUACGGGAGGCAGCAGUGGGGAAUAUUGGACAAUGGGCGCAAGCCUGAUCCAGCCAUGCCGCGUGUGUGAAGAAGGCCUUCGGGUUGUAAAGCACUUUCAGAAGUGAGGAAGGGUGACUGGCUAAUAUCCAGUUAUCUUGACGUUAGCUUCAGAAGAAU